rnacentral:lncRNA from 1 species
GUCGUAGAAUAAUGUUCACAGGAGUUUCAGGCUAUGACCAGAAGUGGCACCAGCUCUGAGGGGAAUAGAAAAUUGGUGUGUUGAAGCAGAGAAAGAAUUAACGCUUAGGAUGAGAGGUGUGUCUGGAGAGAUGCAGAGAAAUGAAGCAUUGGGCAUAAAGUGAGCUGCAGCUCAAGAUAGGCCCUGCCUUGCACUUGUCAUUGCUGCCUGUCUGCUCCUAGUAUUCCAGAAUUAACUGUCAUAGGUUAAAUUAUUCUGCUAAUAUUAAGAGUAUUCACUUGACUGUUCUUGACCUUCUUGCUGACAUGGGCUUUGCUUUGCAAUCUAAUGAAAAGGACCUGAAGAACAUUCAUGAAAAAAUGACCUUUAAAUACCCAUUCAUUUCAGUUUCUACAGUCUGCGUUGUUGCUCUGAGAGUGCUGAGGAUUGGCAAAGAGCUUCGUGUCAGCAUGCUCCUUCAGCAUGAUGUGUACUCAAAUCUUGCAAGAAGUUACUUGGCUGGUGUAGCAGCAUCAGUGGUUUUCACUGUGAUCCAUUAUGUACUGUCUGACCUCUUGCUUUGUACUUAAGUUACUGUCUCUUCAGUAAUAAGGCAAAGGUAUAGGACUAGGCCUCCAACAUGCUGUGAGAAAACCACCAAUAAUGUCAGGAAUGCCAGCUCUUUCAUAUGAUGGGGAUUGCAUCUCUAAAGCACUGAGUUACUUGCUGAGGUUGGACAUGCAGAAGUGCUAAGUGUGCAGUGUCUGCCUGCUGACUGGGGGGCUGGGCUGAGCCAGGUGAGUGACAAAGCAUUUGCGCUGAUGAUGUUGUGCUGGGAGCAUGAUCAUAUGCCUGGGGGUUAAAAUAAUUGUAGGAUUUGGUCAAUUUUAACCACAUCAAUUUCAUUGUGUUUGGUUGGAGAGGAGAAAAAAACGUUAAUUUUUUUCAUGGGACCUAACACAAUCCUUAACCUCGUCAUGCAAAGUCUUGUUUGAUAGAAGCACUCUGUAUAUUCCUUAAUUGAAUGGACAGGAUUUAUUUUGAUGCAUUGAAUGAGGUUGCAAAUAUUAGCAGUGCUUUUUGACUGUCUUUUCGUUCGGUGCCUCAACAUUUUGGCUUUAGUUCAAAAUUGAAUUUUUGGUUGUUAUGGCUUUCUCUCAGCUGGGCUACUUCAUCAUUUGCUUCUUAACCAGAGUGAAGUAGCAUGAUUGCUUGCUGAUUUGAGCACUUUUGUCAGUAGGAGCCAUUCAGCUGAUAUUAGUGGAUUUUGAAAAGGGUCCAUUAUGCACAACCUAAAUUCUUACCAUUGGCUGCCUACAGAGCAGCUGAUUGAUUUAAAUAUCUUUGUAGACUUUUAAGGGCCUUAAUUUUGUUGUCUAUUAUUUAAAUCUGAUGACUUGAACCUUGUUUUGACUAGUAUCUGAAUUCAAGGAUCCAAUUCUGUCAAUAGCCUGUUCAUUCAAAAGAAAAAAGAAAAGAAAAGCUUGUCUCCAUAAAAAUAUGACUAAAAAUUCAUCUGUUUGUUCUUAAUCUGUGUAAGUAUCUUGAAAACAGUACUUAAAAUAUGUGGUAUUUUUCAAGUUUAUUAUUUUUCUGACUGAAAUUAGACCAGUUCCCUC